rnacentral:rRNA from 1 species
AUUGAACGCUGGCGGCAUGCCUUACACAUGCAAGUCGAACGGUAACGCGGGGCAACCUGGCGACGAGUGGCGAACGGGUGAGUAAUGUAUCGGAACGUGCCCAACAGUGGGGGAUAGCCCGGCGAAAGCCGGAUUAAUACCGCAUACGACCUACGGGUGAAAGCGGGGGAUCGCAAGACCUCGCGCUGAUGGAGCGGCCGAUAUCAGAUUAGGUUGUUGGUGGGGUAAAAGCCCACCAAGCCGACGAUCUGUAGUUGGUCUGAGAGGACGACCAGCCACACUGGGACUGAGACACGGCCCAGACUCCUACGGGAGGCAGCAGUGGGGAAUUUUGGACAAUGGGGGCAACCCUGAUCCAGCCAUGCCGCGUGCGGGAAGAAGGCCUUCGGGUUGUAAACCGCUUUUGUCAGGGAAGAAAUCCUUUGGGCUAACACCCCGAGGGGAUGACGGUACCUGAAGAAUAAGCACCGGCUAACUACGUGCCAGCCGCCGCAGUAAUAC